UUAAUUUCUGUUCUGAAAAGCCUCUGUACCACCAACUGGGCUAUUAGCCUUGUAAAAGAUCCAUAUAGCUGACAUCUUGUGUGAAGGCUUAGGGCACUGUGCUGAAUAUGAGAGUCAUGGGGAGAACGAGCAGGAGAUGGCUGGGAAAAGGGAAGGUGGUCCUGUAGCUGCAAGGGAGCAAGUCAACCAAACAGAAAAUAAGGAUAUUCCACUUUUGUAAUUAAAAAUGCUGGGAAACGAGGAGAUCAGUUGUCAUGACUCUGGAAAUGAAUGUCUACAUAGACUUUUUGUAUUUAAAUCUGAUAAAUCACAGAGUUAAUGGUUGCAUAGAGCAUUUCUGGUUGGUGUGGGCUCUGAAGGCCAAGGCUAAAAAAUAUUUUAUAAACAGAUUCUUAUUUUGAGUUAACUCCCACCAAUUAGUACACGGGAGGAAGCAGUCUGUCAGAGAAGCAUCCAGUUAAGGGGAUUCUUAUGCUUUUACUCACCUUCCCUCGUAGAAGUGGGACUUAAAUGGGACUAAGGUCACUUUUCAUCUGCACCAGUGAAACUCAAUGUGAAUUGCUGAACUCAUGGCUGAAUAAAGGUGUCUUUGAUGAUGUGAUCCUUCACUUGUGGAAAACUCUUAGUGAACUCAACUACAGGGUUACUGAAUCCAGAGCGACUGUCAAGUUCACCACCCUUUGCACCACCACACUAUGUGUAAAACCCGUAACAGUUUUUGAUGAACUGGAUACAGACUCUGUACUUUGGUUAAGGACACAUUUAUACCUGUAUGUUUGAAAUCUUGCUCAGAAAGGCAUGGUAACUCUGAUUAGGCAGACCAAUCUCCAAAGACUUUCAAGUGACAAACUCCACGCUUUCCCCCCGUGAUCCCUUUAAAAAGGUUUGUUAAAUAGGGCAUUGCACUUGCAAAGCCUUGCUUGUUCUGACAUUUCUAAGUAAUUCAGAUUGAGUUUGAGUCUACUGGACUUAUGUAUUUGCAUUUCAAAGACUCUGAGAGAGCUGCAGAGCCGCAUAUUGGGUCUAGGACUUUUUUUUACUUAAAAUAAUAAUAAUAAUAAAAAAGUUGGCAAUUGUUGGAUGAAAUGCUGACUCAUCAGUGAUGUCACACAUUUUGUAACCUGCCUUGGUGUUUAAUUAGGGAUUUCUAAAAUGAACCACGGUGCAAAAGAGUGAAAAGCAAGGAGAAAUCUGACAGGAGAUUAGCAAAGGGACAGAGUUGGAUCUAAAGGGAAUGUUAUCCUCGGUACCUCCCCUAAAUGCGUGACUGCAGAUCAGCAGGCUGCAGGAGUGUACCUGCUUGUUGGGACCAUUUAAGAGUGCACAGGAUUUAUAAUAACCUGUCAGGUCUACUAUAUCUUUCAUUAGCUGAUUGGAUUUUUUUUUUUUUUUUUUUUUUUUUUUUUAGUCUCAAGUGAAGACAACACAUUGCUAAUACUCCUAGCCUGUAUCCUGCCUUGGAGCCAGAGAUAAGCUGCCAGAAGAGCUAGAAGAAGAGCUACACACAAUGGUUAAACCUAUGUUCCAGUAGCAAACAAUGAAAAUGAGGGCAAAAACUACGUUUUUAAAAAAAUAUUAUUAUUAUUAUUUUUAAUUUGCAAAACUGAGUACAACCCACCCCUGAGUAUGGGUCACUUAUCAGACCUCCAGAUUGUACUGGGUUCAUAUGGCUGCUUACACCUAAUCAACUAGUUGUGGUGAAAUACGAUGCCACCUUUAGCUAUAAUUAGUAAUAGAAUAGUAAACACAACCCUUAUUUAUUUACAUUAUUAUUUCAAAUACCAUCACUGGCAAAUGAAAUCAUCUUUACUCUUAACUUGAAUUUGCCAGUUUAAAAAUCUACCUCUGUAAUCCUGGUGUAGUGUUGAAGAGCAUUCAGCAAUUUGCUCACAGUGAUGGUUCCUGUAGACUGAUGGGAUGUUGUAUUAGGUAAACCCUUAAUUUUGGUGCUGUUAGAUAAGUAGUUUGAGCUUCAAACCAAAGCCUAAACAAAGUAAUUGCAUAGAUGCUCUUGUGCACUCUGUUAAAAUAUUAAGAUGUUUUUGCCUAUACAUCUUCUGGUCAUUUGGAAUAUCCCCGGAUUAUUAUUAUUAUUAUUAGUGUAUUAUAGUACACUAUAAUAAUGCGUAUUUACACGUAUAAGUUAUAUUAAAGGUUCUGACUGCUGUUUUGCCAAUUUAAAACUCCUCCUUUUUCUAAAUAUCUUGAUUACUACAAGAAUGAAACCACUGAUAUUUAGUUUUCAGAAAAUCGAGGGAUAUCUUAAUAUUAACAAAAUUAGACAAAAGGAUAGUACUCAGAAGAAAAUGUACAUUAAAUGAAUUUCAGAAAUUGGGAUGAUUUAAAAAAAAAUGUUUAUCUAAAUCACAUUUUGCAGCUUUACUAUGAGUAGAAAUUAUCUUCUUGAUCUACACAUUUUUUCUAAUCUUAUAUUUGAAAGAAAAUCAAAAUUAACAAAUUUCCCAAGAACAUGUGCUUCGUACAAAACUAGACGUCUUAUAUUUGUGUUUUUUGAAGAUUUGAUUGUUUGUUUAAUUACAGACUCUUGUGUUCCAACAUAAAGUUUGAAAAGACUUUUU